AUAUAUAGACCUGGACAGUGUGUCGUCCGUUGGAAUUGAAGCAACCGCUAGUCCAGAGCCCCCUGGUGGCUGGCUGCAGUACAAUUCGUAGCUCCGCCCAUCCCCAUGUAUUUCAAUGGCCAAGUAGCCAACUUUCCGUGUCACUUUUCUCACCUAAAACUAAUGUUAUAUUUACAACAUGUUAUUCGAAAAAAUUGUUUUCAAUGUGCUUCAAUACACACCAUUUUUCUUUUCUCUGUGAAAUUAUUUUUUUUAAAGUUAUUUCAACAACUCUAAAACGGGCGUUGAUUGACAGUGCGUGACCGCAGCGUCAGCCGCUUGCAGCCGUUCAGUCCGUGGAGUAGCUGUAGGCUCGGCUGUGGUGGUGUUCGUUCGUCAGGCAACUUAUCAUAUUUGUUUUAUUUGCUGUUAUUACACUUUAUACAUUGACAGUCAUGUCGUGCUGUGCUGUUGGUUGUACUAACGGGCCAUCCCAGAGAAGCUCUGUGCAGUUUUUUUUCGUUUUCCUUUAGGUGUGCAGCAUGCAGACAGACUGAGACGAUGGCUGGUGAACAUAAGACGACAAGACUGGGAGCCCAGCAAGUCAUCUCAUCUCUGUAGUCUUCAUUUUGAAGACCAUGAAUUCACCAUUUAUACCUAUGGGAAUCGUCUGACUUGCACUGCAGUACCAACUGUGUUCUCCCUUCCUGACCACCUGGUGAAGAGACCUGCUAGUAGAAAGGCAAGUGGUUAUUUUCUUAUCCUUUCUUUGUCAAGUGCUGCAAAUGAGAAGGAAUGUGAAAUGGUGGCUGUUAAUACAUCAGAUCAAAAUGUGGCUUGUCAGUAGUGAGCAGUUACAUUUUUGUGUCACCCAAGACAUUAAAACGAAAGAAUGAUGUCAUGGUUGAGAUUGUGGAGAAAUAUUAAAAGAGGAUGAGAAAGUAAGACGUGUAAAGUAAGUUUCAUGGCAUAACACAAACUUAGAACUUUUUUUAUAUGUUGUCUGUAAUGCUAUACAACUGUAAUACCUCCUGGAAGUUUUGAUUUUAUGUAUGUUUUUUCACAUGGCGGUGGUGGUGCAGGAAGGGGGUAUUUUGUCUUCCGCCUCCCUCCUGCACCACCACCGCCAUCACCAGAGCUGAAGGUCCACGCCACCAUCGCCAGAGCUGAAGGUCUACACCACCACCAUCACCAGAGCUGAAGGUCUACACCACCACCAUCACCAGAGCUGAAGGUCUACGCCACCAUCGCCAGAGCUGAAGGUCUACACCACCACCAUCACCAGAGCUGAAAGUCUACGCCACCAUCGACAGAGCUGAAGGUCUACAACGCUGCUGCCACCAGAGCUGAAAUCUCUCUAAGUUAAUGACUAACCCCCCCUCACCCCUUGGCAAACACAAUAAAACAUGGUCAUUUGUGGAUA